UGGCAAUGGUGCCCACCUGAGAGAUGCCAGAAUUGAGUUCUGGCUGAAAAUAAAGCCUUGUCAAUAAAUAAUAAUAAUAAUGUUUUUAAAAAUAAAUUAAUGUGUGUGUGUGUGUGUGUGUGUGUGUGUGUGUGUGUACACACACACACAUAUACGUUUAUAUUUAUAUACAGUCAU